AGUGAACGCUGGCGGUAGGCCUAACACAUGCAAGUCGAACGGCAGCACAGUAAGAGCUUGCUCUUACGGGUGGCGAGUGGCGGACGGGUGAGGAAUACAUCGGAAUCUACUUUUUCGUGGGGGAUAACGUAGGGAAACUUACGCUAAUACCGCAUACGACCUACGGGUGAAAGCAGGGGAUCUUCGGACCUUGCGCGAUUGAAUGAGCCGAUGUCGGAUUAGCUAGUUGGCGGGGUAAAGGCCCACCAAGGCGACGAUCCGUAGCUGGUCUGAGAGGAUGAUCAGCCACACUGGAACUGAGACACGGUCCAGACUCCUACGGGAGGCAGCAGUGGGGAAUAUUGGACAAUGGACGCAAGCCUGAUCCAGCCAUACCGCGUGGGUGAAGAAGGCCUUCGGGUUGUAAAGCCCUUUUGUUGGGAAAGAAAAGCAGCAGGUUAAUACCCCGCUGUUCUGACGGGACCCAAAGAAUAAGCACCGGCUAACUUCGU
rnacentral:rRNA from 1 species